rnacentral:rRNA from 1 species
UGGGGAAUAUUGCACAAUGGGGGCAACCCUGAUCCAGCCAUGCCGCGUGAGUGAAGAAGGCCUUCGGGUUGUAAAGCUCUUUCGGCCGGGAAGAAAUCGCACGGGCUAAUACCCUGUGUGGAUGACGGUACCGGAAGAAGAAGCACCGGCGAACUACGUGCCAGCAGCCGCGGUAAUAAGUAGGGUGCGAGCGGUAAUCGGAAUUACUGGGCGUAAAGCGUGCGCAGGCGGUUAGAUAAGACAGAUGUGAAAUCCCCGGGCUCAACCUGGGACCUGCAUUUGUGACUGUAUAGCUAGAGUACGGCAGAGGGGGGUGGAAUUCCACGUGUAGCAGUGAAAUGCGUAGAGAUGUGGAGGAACACCAAUGGCGAAGGCAGCCCCCUGGGUCGAUACUGACGCUCAUGCACGAAAGCGUGGGUAGCAAACA